GCAAAUCUUAGUUUAGUGUACACACUAAAACCACACAUAUCAGCCAUGAAGUCCAAACCACUCUCUCUAUUUUUCAUUCUUGCAAUGAUCGCCGCAGCACUGGUUUUUGCAACCCCAACAACCGCUGGGAAGUUUUCCGGCGACAUAGCAAAGGGAGUUGUUGCAGUGAUACAGCCGUCGCGGCGGUGCUGUGGCGCGAUCAUGCACCGUGCUAAGCUCCAGGGGUAUGACGACUAUACCCCACCGUGUUGUGGCUGAGGACAUGAUAUGUAAAAUGGGACAGAGGAAAGAAUAAAUAAAUAAAGCAUGUUGGGAUUAUAAAUAUACUAAAUUUCCUACUCUACUCUAGCUAGCUAUGUUCUUCAUGUUGGUAUAUUUCAAAAAUGGCAAAAAUAACCUAUUAAUGUAAUAUUUUUAUAAUACUAUGUUGGCAUAUAUGCUUUUGGA